GGGGAUGUAAUGGUUUCGACAUGUAUGGGUAUGAGUUUAAUGCAGUAGUGUAGCAGACUAUAAUUGCUACUAGGCUUUCUUAAACGGAAACGAAGAAUCAAGCGAAUAUUCAUUCGCAAACCCAGUUUUCGCUGGAAAUCAAACCUUUGCUUUUGCUUAAUAAUGCAACAAAGUUGCUUUAAGUGGUUUCUUGAACUUAAAGUAGGUUAAUUAAGAAUAGUUUAAAGCUUGACGAACUUUGAACGAAUUUAGUCACACAUUUAAAAUUCUUUUUGUUUAUUUUAGAAUUUUAAAUGUUAUUAAAAAUAAACUAAACUGUAGACUUAAGCUUAUUAUUCAUAUGUGGACAGGGGUUCGACUCCCCUCAUCUCCACCA
rnacentral:tmRNA from 1 species